AGCGAACGCUGGCGGCAGGCUUAACACAUGCGAGUCGAGCGGGCAUCUUCGGAUGUCAGCGGCAGACGGGUGAGUAACACGUGGGAACGUACCCUUCGGUUCGGAACAACUCUGGGAAACUGGAGCUAAUACCGGAUAAGCCCUUAUGGGGAAAGGUUUACUGUCGAAGGAUCGGCCCGCGUAUGAUUAGCUUGCUGGAGGGGUAACGGCCUACCAAGGCGACGAUCAGUAGCUGGUCUGAGAGGAUGAUCAGCCACACUGGGACUGAGACACGGCCCAGACUCCUGCGGGUGGCAGCAGUGGGGAAUAUUGGACAAUGGGCGCAAGCCUGAUCCAUCCAUGCCGCGUGAGUGAUGAAGGCCUUAGGGUUGUAAAGCUCUUUUGUCCGGGACGAUAAUGACGGUACCGUAAGAAUAAGCCCCGGCUAACUUCGUG
rnacentral:rRNA from 1 species